GAUGAACGCUGGCGGCGUGCCUAAUACAUGCAAGUCGAGCGAACAGACGAGGAGCUCGCUCCUCUGACGUUAGCGGCGGACGGGUGAGUAACACGUGGAUAACCUACCUAUAAGACUGGGAUAACUUCGGGAAACCGGAGCUAAUACCGGAUAAUAUAUUGAACCGCAUGGUUCAAUAGUGAAAGACGGUUUUGCUGUCACUUAUAGAUGGAUCCGCGCCGCAUUAGCUAGUUGGUAAGGUAACGGCUUACCAAGGCAACGAUGCGUAGCCGACCUGAGAGGGUGAUCGGCCACACUGGAACUGAGACACGGUCCAGACUCCUACGGGAGGCAGCAGUAGGGAAUCUUCCGCAAUGGGCGAAAGCUUGACGGAGCAACGCCGCGUGAGUGAUGAAGGUCUUCGGAUCGUAAAACUCUGUUAUUAGGGAAGAACAAAUGUGUAAGUAACUAUGCACGUCUUGACGGUACCUAAUCAGAAAGCCACGGCUAACUACGUG
rnacentral:rRNA from 1 species